CAAAUAGUUGUCCUUCACUAAAACCACUAAGUCGAUUUGUAGAUUUUUUGGUAUUCAAGGGGACUAGAGAAAUCGGUUUUGCUUUUCCUCUGGUGCGAAGGUUUAAUUGCCGUACUUUACGUCACCAUAAAACAAAACAACAAGCCUACAAU